rnacentral:lncRNA from 1 species
CUGCGAUGAUCGACCGGCCGCGGACGCACCCGCUGGUGCGCUUGCCGACGUCGACAGCAGCGGCGGCAGCGUCGCGGUAUGAUCUCCUGUCGUCGUCGGCUGCGCAGGACCGGUGGCAAAGGGCGCCAAAGCGCCAAAGCCCUUGCGGUGGGCCUUGACCAGACGGUCGGCGCGAGGGACAAUGCCAGGGAGGGGCCGACUGGCGCGGGCGACAAUGCUCCACACGCACUCGGCCGUGGCGCGCACCGACCGACCAUCAUAGUAGGCGCACACGUGACUCAUGUCAAAGCCGGCAACGACCUGCGCUGCCGAGCGGCAGUCGGUGUAGACGAUCUGAAGUGUCUCGGUGGGUCCCUGGUCGCUUGUGCGACUGUCAGUCUUGGUGUGCGCGUCGUCUACGCGGUCGCCGGUACCCUCGACGCUCUUGUUGUCCACAUCGGCGGCCGACAGGGACGACAAUGGCGCACAGAAAGACGCCACCGACCCCGAGACCACACAGCGGCAGCCGGGUACGGCGGCAAAGAUCGUCUCGGCCAUUUUGGCAAACACGUGGCGGCGUUGUUCGUCGUCUGACCCAUAGAUCCACAGGUCGAGAUCGCCACGCGGUGCGCGCAGAUGAGGCGCCUGCAUGGCGUCGACGACGCUGCCGCCGGCGAGGACGACACCGCCGUCGCGCAAGAGGCCGUCGCGCACCACCAGGGGCCCAAACACGGGAAAGGCCUCGACCAACGCGCGCUCAAAGGCGGCCCUGCCCGACACGAGUGCCGGCCGAUCGGCAAAGCCCACGGCCUCGAGGUCGAACGGUAGGACAAACGGGUCGACGAGCGUGCACCCGUUGCCGAUGGCGUAUUCGACUGGAAACAGAGGCCGCGACCAGUCGCGCAGGGCCAACGCCAGCGCCAACGAGGCGAUUUGGCCGCCGUCGUCGUCGUCGUCUCUGCCGCAGACCCAUGACAGUGCCGACUCGGCUGAUGCGGGAUCGUCGGGGCCGUUCAAAGGCGGUGCGCGCGCGGCCUCGACGAGCGCCUCGCCGAGACCCUGGUAGAGGCGGACGCGCCAAGCCUGACGUCGGCACAGUGGUUCGCGUGCAUCGCCCCGGCGGCACAAUGGUUGAUCGUCGUCGUUGCGAUCCAUCGCGCGAGCGCAGGCACGCUCCCAAAAGCGCGACGCGUCAAACACCAGGCGUCUAGGCCGCGGGAGCACCUGGGGAUCCAGCGGCGCGUCGCAUGCCUCGGCGCGCAGGCGCACUGCGUAGGCGAGCAGAACAAACUUGGCCAAUUCGGCCAGGCGCACGGGGUCGACCGGGUCGGUGUGUGUGCCGAGCGGUGCGUCCGGGCCGCCGCAGGGUCUCUCGCCCCACAGGUCCAGCGCCGUCGCCAUGGAUUCGGAACAGGCCCGAGCGACGCCCGCGGCCCCGACAUAGCGCAGGGCAUCGGCAAAGGCGACAUCGGCCGCGACAGGUUGGACAACGCCGCCAAGGAUGCCACAAAAUCGAGCGAGCCGACCGACGUUGGCUCUGGCCAGCGGCGGCACCUCGACGCGCACGACGGCACCGGGCGAGUCAGACACGGCCUCGCGAAAGCCGCCGUCCAGCAUCGAGGCAAAGUAGGCAGACGACGCGCACAGGGGCGCCUUGGGCAGCGUCGUGCGGUACACGGGACCCUCGUCGCCGGCGACCAGGUCAAUGGUGAUCUCCCUCUUGUCGUGAGCCUCGUGAUCGUGGUGGCGGUCGCUCAUUCUUUUUGUUGGUUUGUUCCUUUUGCUUGGUCGCUUGCUGGUAUGUAUCCUGCUUUUUUUUUUGAAAAAAAAAAUUUGGCCCCAC